rnacentral:rRNA from 1 species
GACGGGGGGGGCAAGUGUUCUUCGGAAUGACUGGGCGUAAAGGGCACGUAGGCGGUGAAUCGGGUUGAAAGUGAAAGUCGCCAAAAAGUGGCGGAAUGCUCUCGAAACCAAUUCACUUGAGUGAGACAGAGGAGAGUGGAAUUUCGUGUGUAGGGGUGAAAUCCGUAGAUAUUUGGAGGAACACCGGUGGCGAAGGCGGCUACCUGGAUGAGUAUUGACGCUGAGGUGCGAAAGCGUGGGGAUCAAACAGG